rnacentral:lncRNA from 1 species
GUGGGCAUUGACAGCCACCAGGUCCUCGAAGCUGCGGCGGUGCUCCUUGCCCUGCCAGUCCAGGCGCCGGGGGAUCAGCUGCGGGAGGGAGACGGGGAGAGAGAGAGCGGGAGGAGGGACGGAGCCGGCGGUCAGACCCCUCCCCGGGCGGCCGAGGGCAGCCGGCCCCGCUCCGCGCCCCCGGCCCGGCCGCACCACGGCCCCGGCCGCACCGCGCCGCGCGGCCCCGCAGUGCCGGGAGGGGCCGGGCCGGGCCGGGCAGCGCCGUCCCUUACCUGGUGCUCCUCCAGCUCCUCCACCAGCACCUGGGGACACACACAGCACGCACACAAAGGACGGUCCGGACUGCAGGAACCUGGCGAUCAGAAGAGCCCGAGUUGGAGGGGAUCCACAAGGAUCAUCGAGCCCAGCUCCUGCGCUUGUCUUAGCUCACAGUGAGUGCUUCAGGAGCUGAAUCACAAUUAUUUCCUCCCAGUGUCCAGGAAAUAAAGACAUGGAUGAUGCCACACCUGUUCUCUUCAAAGAAAAUACUGUGCAAUAUCAAUCUCCAUAGACGUUCUUGAGGGAAACAAGUAAUUUUUCCAGAAGUAUCCUGUCCAAGCUUCAGAAAUGUAUUUCACUUCAGCAAUAACUUGCUAAAAUAUUAGGGGAAUAGACAGCAUUCCUUAACAUACAAUUGUGUUUUGCUGCCAUAAAUACCUGAUGUUUGGUGAUAGAAUUUUGUGAGCCUUGUCAGGGUAACAAUCACUGUCAUAACUGAAAAAUAAAAGAAUAAGACGACUCAUCUUCAUGCUUUGAAUACCAAGAGCUGAAUCAUAGUAAGUUGAUGCAGUUGAAACAUUAAGAAUAAAUUCAUUUUCACAUGUAUUUAUAGUGUAUGUGCAUGACUAGACACUGUGGAGUGCUAUUUCAGAGUUCUUCCUGCUGUUACCACAAGGAUGCAGCCCAUCCUGCUGGCAGCCCACUUUCAGGAUGUUUCAGGAUCCCAGAACGAGUCAGAUGUGUGACAUCCAGCUGCUCUACAUGACUUGCCUACACCUUAAUACAGGUGUGGAAGUUGUUUGUGUCAGGCACUUGGAUUUGCUGGCUGAGGCAUAGACUUCAUUUUCUUCUUUGUCCUCCAAUGCUCUCAAGUUGCUAAUGAGAAUUUAAAUAACCUGAAUAAAUAAAUAAAGCAUCCCUGCUUACCAUCAUAGCUCUUGGAAUCUUUUAUAAGGCAGAUUCAUGGUUAUCACUUAAAGAGAUGUGGGGAGCCACCUUCCUAAGCUGUUACCUCAGCUCUAGGGGCUUUCCAUUAGUAACAACUCUUCCAGUGUGACACCCAAGCCUUUGAAGUUAGUCCUGCUAUUCCUGUGGGAGUUGGGGUGUAGGAUAGUUCUGGAAACAAAUUACCUUCCAGGAAAAGAACCUUCUGAUAUUCUGUAUCUUUAGAAGUAAUAUUUUUCUUUCCUGUCUUCAGAACUGAUAAUUGCGAGCUCAUCUUAUUAUGUAUGCUAGGAAUGCAAAGGAAGAACGUAGAUAGUGUAUUGUAAUAUGUUUCGAAAGUGUACAUCAAUCUUUCUGAGCUAAAUUUAAUUCUGUGUCAGGAGAAAACACAUCACCGAAAACAUUGUGUAGCACCAGGUCCUCCUGUUUUCUAGUGGUAACAGUUACCUAAUAUAUUCUUAAUGGAUAUGGCAUGUUUCUUUGGCCCCCCUUGGCUGAUGUGUUGCAGAACCUUUCUCCUCACAAUUUGCUUUUAUUUGAGCUUGGAGGCAGUAGCAUAUGAGCUGCACCACCACAAAAAGGCAGGAUUAUUCUUUUAGGGCCUAUCUAGAGCCAAUGGGAAUUCCUACAGGAACUGAAAUGGGCUCUCAAAUUGAAAGCCAAGAUAGAAAGUGUUCCCAAACGAAACUCGGCUGUCCGUUGUGUGUGUCCUUCCCACACCAUUUGCACUGGAAGCCUUGCUGCAUGCCUAGGUGCUUAUACAUACAGGUUCUCACAGCUCAAAACUCAGAGGUGCUCCUUAAUGCAAAGGCUGUGCCCUUGUUGAAGCCUGGGCUGAUUCAUGCAUCAACAAGAAAGGAGCACAUUAGUAACUACGCAGCUAUUUGUUAGCUAUGUGCUGCAGAGUAUGGGUGUACAGACCACAGCCUGCAUUCAGAACACAAACAGCUCAUUAGUUGUGCCCAGAGCAGCCAUUGGAUAGCUUCCCUUCGCCAGGCUCCUUCAGAGCAAUUAGGGCUGGGAUUUCCAUCUCUGCAGUGACCCCCAGCCUUCUUCCUGUGUUGCUGAUCCUGUGGCUCCACAGCUUCAUAUCGUUAACAUUCUCUCAGUUGCUCUAUGAUCCCCUAGGGUUGCUCAAAACAUUGCGAUCAAUAGCUCUUCCUGCUUCUCUUGAGCUCUCCCCUUAAGGAAUCAUCUUCCUGGUGAGUAACGCCCAUCUUCAGGUGCACCUUUCAUUCCCUGGGAGCUCCGUGUCACAGCACACUGCAGCUGCACACAGAUCUGCAGCUCCAUGACUCAUCUCUUUCUGGAUCCUCUGCAUCCAAGAAGUAUCACGCUGGACAGCAGUAGUAAAUCUCCUAGUGAAAGCCAGAUUUGAUGCUAGUGCUUAUUCAUGUUUCUCCAAAGCAGAAUUCUGUUAUAUAAAUGCCAACAGCAGCAGUGGCACUUAGUGCUGGAGAGGAACGUAGUGAUGCAACAGUCUUUGCUGGUGAACAACAGAUGUACUCAGAAGCAGAGAUGCUUUGAGGAAGAAGCUACACUGAGAGUUUCUUUCCAUGCUUGCUCUUUUUAAAUAAUAGUAAUAGUAGUAGUAAUAGUAAUAAUAAUAAAGGAAUGCCUUUGAAGCAUUUUGAGUGGAAAUCUUUAGAUGAAACUUUAAUCUACACAUUGUCCCAUAGAAUAAAAUCAAUCUCAUUCUGCUGUGGCCAAACUUGUCAAAUGCUGCAGGAUCACCUCCCUCUCCCUCAUGUGCCCUUCCCAGACAGAGCGCAGAUCAUCACAAAGCGUUCAGAUCUGUAGAAGGCCUGAAAGGGUGGGUAACGAGUGCUGAACAUGUAGGGGGGGAAAUUGUGACAAAUAUCAUGGUGGAAGAGAUCUUGUUGAGGUUCCACAUAUGGGUCAUAGGUGAAGCUGGUCCAGGAGAUUUUGAUUUCCUGCAUGCAUGUGCAUUUUUCAUACUUUCACAGACUCAGUUCUGCCUUUCUGCCCUCUUACUGAUAUUGCUUGGUGCUAAUAAGCACCCUUGUUCUGCAGCAUAGCAUCUCUGUAUGUGCAUCUUACUCCAAGUGAGAACCUGCAGGGAAAAAAUCUCAGAAAAAAUGCCUCAUACUUGUGCCGUUGUACAAUUAACUUACCAAAACCACUCUUAAUAUUAAAUAGGUAUGAUUAAGUUAGUGCAUUUAACCCUCUGAAAAGCUUGGCUUUGGCAACUCUUGACUCAACCGCCCAUUGCUUCUGCCCAUUUGAUAUUGCAAAAACCUCUCAAAAAAGAGAGGGUUUUGCUUUUCUUGGGGGAGACCUCCAGAGGUGACCCAGUCCCCGUCCUGCACAGAGCAGGCCUAAAAUGUUGCAUUUGACCAAACAAGUCUGAACACCUCGAAGGAAGGAAGGUUGGGCAACCUCUCUGGGCAACCCAACCCCUUCCAGUCUGACCAUCCUUGUAGUCCAAAAUCGUUUCCUUAUCUGGACUUCCCAUGUUCCAGCUUUUGUCUGUCCCCUCUCACUGUAAUGCUGUAGUUGAGAGGACAUGCAAGUAAACAGGAUUUACCUCUCUUUAAUUUCACUGCUAAAUUCAAUUAUCUUCUCCUUAUUUGGCUUGUAACACCAAAUGCGUGUCUCUCUUAUUGUAUUUAUUACUAUAUAUUCUGGAUGAGUCAAAUUCUGCUGUCUGUUCUCUAGCUUUAGCAUAGUGUCAGGACAUGCCUGGGGAGACAGUAAUACAGCACAGCUGCAAAUCAGAAAGUUGAGGUUAGAACCAUGUGGGUGUGCUGGGUGGUACUCGGACUGUACCUUUCCUCUCCAGUAAAUGUAUAUGGGAAUGCAUGUGUCCGAAUCCCUUUGGAUUUAGACUACAGGAGGUUAAGCAUUUUUUUUUACAUUUUUGACUAACUAUCAUCCAUUUUUUUAUAUGCUUUCUGCUAAUCUCGGGCCUUUCCUUGUGCAUCCAGGUGAGACACAAGGACACUCAUUGUUCCUGAAAUGAAAUCCAAGUUUUUCUGUAACUGAUACAAAAAUAAGUGCUAUUUAGAAGCGGUUUCAGAACUGCUGCUUUGUACUAUACAGCUGAAACCAAAUACAGGUAUUGAAAAGCCAAAGCUUACUUUAAGAUGGUAUCAAAAUGCAGUAACCUCAAAAUGAAAUUUUGGCAUUGUAGUUUGUUUGAGUAAAUAAGAGGUGCUAAAUCAUUAACAAAACAGACACAUUUGCUUGCGUGCAGAGGUCCUCUGUGCCCAUAAACAUCCUCUCUUGACAAAGCAAUCUCCUUUUCACAGUUUUUUCUCUUGACGACAUCUGUUAAAUAACAAUCCGGUACCUGCUGGUGGUUAUGUAAGAUCUGCUGUAGGAUCUCUGCUAUUUUUACGUACCCGAUCAUCUCACUUCUGCAUCCCUCCGCUCUGCCCUCUGGGUGGUGCUCCAUAACCGAGAGUUCCGUGUAGCUCUAUCCCACAGGAAAGGCUGUUGGGAAACGGUCAGGGCAACACUCUCCUUUGUUUCUAAAUUCCAUCUUAAAAUAGUUCGUCUGAGUUCAGAGAUUUGUUCCGUGUCAUGUAAAUGUGGUGUCUCUUCCUCUGGUGAAGCUGCAGAUCCAUUUGCUAGCACACAAGAUGCCACCUGUCUGGAACAGGAUCAGCUGUUAUUCUGCCGACCGACCCAUAUCUCAUAUCUCUUAUGGCAGCCAUUAACUGCAUUUAGCUGCUGCUCUGCUGGGAGGUACGUACAUCACCCAUACCAUCGUGUAACUUCUAUUUGCUUCAUUUUCAAACAAAUUAAUUCUCUCUGAACAUCCUGUAAACAUUUGUGUCUCUGUUUUACAUACAAAUAAAUGCAAAAUUUCAAAUAUGGAUGGAAUGCAUACAAAAACACGCAGCAGCCUGCGUGCCGAUGUGCCCAUAGCACUGUAAACAGAAGAACCAGGUGAAUAAUGCCAGCACGGUGCAAUCUGCCACAGCAUCACUGAAUCUCAGCACUACCCCUGAAGGUGCCUAUAACUCAUCAAGUUCUCUAAGCAGGAGAAUUACCUAUAGCUGCAAGUGACGAGGCAGCUCUCCUCAUUGGUGCUGUUGCAGUGGCAGUGCCCACAUCUGUAGCUCCGGAUGGGAUCCUGCCUCACCAGGAGCGUGGGUUGGUGCGAGCCCUCUGCGCCCAGCGUUCUGCAGCUGCUCAGCGCAGUGCUCAUGCAAAUGGCUCCUGCUCUGCUCGCUCCGGGGACGAUGUGCACAAAGGGCUCUCCUCAGAAAUGCUACCUGACGUUGCCCGGCUGAGAUAAUUCAACAACUUCACAUCUUGCUGAACCCUGUUAUGGACUGUGGGUUUUUGUUUGUUUGUCUGUUUAAUUUGCAGGGCCUGAUCCUGCAUCUUCAGCUUUUCCUGCUGGGGUGCCCAUAGCUUUGCAGUCAGUCUGGGCACACUGUGUCUGCCUGCGUGGCUCAGAAUUCAUCAUGUCUGUCCCCGCAGAGCUGGGAAUGCAAAUGCUGCUGUCACUCCAUCCACCAAGCGUGUCGCUUAGACCCCUCUAUCCUUUCUCUUCUAGGUUGUCAGAAUUAUUGCAUUUUAAUUUGGUUUUACAGAAGUAAUGCGUAUUUUUGUGAGGGACCCCACCAAGUUGCUAAGAGUUUUUUAAAGUGCUGGUUUUAUUUAAUUAAAAAUAUCCAUUAAUUUUCUGAAUAUAUUUAUCAAUAUCCAUAACGUGUAAACAUUAUUAAUAAGCUCAUUAACACCCUUUGAGUACAGUUUUAUAGAAAUAAAAAUUAAAUAUAAAUUAGCACACAAGGUGAUGAAUUAGAAAACUGCCUUGAAUAAGUUUGCCCACAGCAGUAAGAGUUUCUAAAGCUGCUGGUUGGGGGCCUGCACCACAUCCCCUUUUGGGUGUCCCCUCCAAACAGCAAAGCCCAACCCUACUCACACACAGGGCAGCUCCAAGCCCAACUCCCUUCUGUUGUCCUCCACCUUUUCUCACACUGCUGUGCCCAUUUUGAGAUGGGAGGACUGAAACUGCUGAUUGUCCACUGGCAUCACAACACUUGUUUUUAUUUGUUCCCCAUUCCCUCCUGUUUGCCUUUGACUAUCUCUGAGCAUCGUGUGAGGCACUACAGAGCGAUCAGCAUAAUGAAGCCAGCAUCUCCUCAUUAAAUUGUCAUAGCUCAGAGCCCAUUUCUACUUAUCUGUAGCUUCCAUUGCCAUUAUUUUGCAUUAUCUUUGUUUAGUUCCAUUUUUUUGUUCCAUUCCUUCAGUAUCAGGCCUGCUCUGGCCAAUGAGCUUGAAACCAGUCAGGCAAUCGGGUAAUUCAUGCCUGAGCCCUUCUCUAGGACUUUUGGUCAAUGCCAUCCCAUACUGGAAUUUGGUUGCCAUUAAUUUUAUUUAUUCAGCUUAAAGUCUUCUCUGCUGAUCUUCAUUGUGAGAAAAUUUCUCAAUCUCAUCCCUCUUGAAGAAGGGCUUUGAUUUGGAAACCUCCAUCCAUUCCUCUGUAGGAAACAGUGAUCCACAUCGAAUUGUAGAAUCAUAGAACCAUUAAGGUUGGAAAGGACCACUAAGAUCCCCGAGUCCAACCAACCCCAUCCCACCUCCACCAUGCCCAUAACCAUUUCCCUCAGUGCUACAUCCCUACAGUUGUAGAACACCUCCGUGGAUGGUGACUCCACCACCUCCCUGGGCAACUGUUUCAUUUAGCUCUUGAACUCCCAUCAUUUAGUGGAUGGAUACAUUCUUUUAUAGCCUUCCAGCUUCUUAUCUUUGGAAAUACUCUUUUUUUUUUAAUAUCCUCAGGAGUUCAAUUUGCACAAUCUCCCACCAUCAACUUCUUUUUUUUCUUGCCUCAACUGAUCAGAGCUUUAGAAACAGCUUGCUGGUACGUGUGUUCUCUUUCUUAUCUCCAUUGGAAGACGGCUCACAUUUUUGGGAUGUCCCUUAGAGCUUUUCUUGAUAGAAUAAAUAAUAUUAUUUAAUGUCUGGUGAAGUGUUUUUCAACACCUCCAAAUACUUACCCUGUUGUGUCUUUUAUGCCAAUAAAGAAAGCUUUUCUGUAGAGUUUAUGAGAUCCAUGAGCUCUGUGCGGCUGAGUACUGUCCUGGUGUUUGAUGAGAAAUUGCAUGGAAGGCUGAAAGAUGUGGGCUGAGGCUGUGAAAGGCAAAUGGGAGCCUUACAGACACAAUUCCAGCCAUCCAUAUUUAUUUUCAUGAGGCAUUACAUCCUUACUGCUGGGCUGUAAGAAAUGAGGAAGGCAGUUGCACAGGCUAUAGGUGAAAAAAGCUUCUUAUUCUGCACAUUCUUGGGCAGUUUGCUAAACUACAGGAGCCCUGCCGUGUUCCUGCUGAGGUCUCCUCCUCUCUCUGAGAUGUCUGUGGACACCUUCCUGUCUUCUCUGUCAGUGUG